GAUCCAACGCUUCUUGAUUUUUCUAUUUUCUUAAUUUCUGUUUUAUUUUCUUUAAUUCUUUUUAUUUUCAAAAAUUCGUAACUUCUUUAUUUGGAAUCACAAAAGUAUGAGACCAAUUGCAAAAAUUUUCUCUUAAAUUCUAGUUUCACAAUAUGAUUUUUAAUUAUUUUUGUGAUUCCAUUUAGUAUUUUUUGUGAAUU
rnacentral:lncRNA from 1 species